rnacentral:tRNA from 2 species
GGGCCAUUAGCUCAAUUGGUAGAGCAGCUGACUCUUAAUCAGUUGGUUCAAGGUUCGAGUCCUUGAUGGCCCA